rnacentral:lncRNA from 1 species
AGAAUGAGGACAGAUCCAAGGUUUGUUGAUGACCAUAUUGGGGGAGGAAUUCUUUCUUAGCUGAGUUUCAUCCUAGAGUACAUCUGUAGCUGUGAGACUGGCCUUGCCAAGAAUUUCAAACUUACAGGAAGGGGUAAUAUCUCUGGUAUGGAGGGCUUGUCGUGCCCUUUUAGGGCAGCUCUCCAGCCACUGACCCUCACCUGACACCCAGCUCUCACUUGUGGCUCCUAGUAGCUGCUAGCAUGCGG